ensembl:rRNA 5S_rRNA 5S ribosomal RNA
GUCUAGGGCCAUACCAUCCUGAAUGCAUCUACCUUGGAAGCUAAGCAGGGUUGGGCCUGGUUAGCACUUGGUGGGAGACAAAGCAAUAAGUCUCUGGGUAGAAAAGGAAGAGCUCUAAGCA